AUCCUUUUGUGAUUCAUAAGUGUGAUGAUUGAGUUUUCAUGCUCAUGUGUGAGAUGUGCCCCCCCAAACCUGUCACAGCAUCUGCUCAUUAUCAAAUAUGAAA
ensembl:snoRNA